GUGAAUCAGAGUCGCUUCGGCGCUCAACCCCUCACUUUCUAACUCUGUGCACUUGUAAUGCCAUUAGGAUUUUCCUAUUCGGGAAUUUUCUAUUCGGCCUAUCACUUUUAACAUCAGUCAAUGAAUGUCAAUACAAAACAAAAA
rnacentral:misc_RNA from 1 species